rnacentral:rRNA from 1 species
UGGGGAAUAUUGCACAAUGGGCGCAAGCCUGAUGCAGCCAUGCCGCGUGUGUGAAGAAGGCCUUCGGGUUGUAAAGCACUUUCAGCGAGGAGGAAGGUGGUGGACUUAAUACGUUCAUCAAUUGACGUUACUCGCAGAAGAAGCACCGGCUAACUCCGUGCCAGCAGCCGCGGUAAUACGGAGGGUGCAAGCGUUAAUCGGAAUUACUGGGCGUAAAGCGCACGCAGGCGGUUUGUUAAGUCAGAUGUGAAAUCCCCGGGCUCAACCUGGGAACUGCAUUUGAAACUGGCAAGCUAGAGUCUCGUAGAGGGGGGUAGAAUUCCAGGUGUAGCGGUGAAAUGCGUAGAGAUCUGGAGGAAUACCGGUGGCGAAGGCGGCCCCCUGGACGAAGACUGACGCUCAGGUGCGAAAGCGUGGGGCAGCAAACAGGAUUAGAUACCCUGGUAGUCCACGCUGUAAACGAUGUCGAUUUGGAGGUUGUGCCCUUGAGGCGUGGNUUCCGGAGCUAACGCGUUAAAUCGACCGCC